rnacentral:rRNA from 1 species
AAUCAACGCUGGCGGCGUGCCUAACACAUGCAAGUCGAACGCGAAAGCCCCUUCGGGGGGUAAGUAGAGUGGCGUCCGGGUGAGUAACACGUGGGUAAUCUGCCUUCGGGUGGGGAAUAACUCAGGGAAACUUGAGCUAAUACCGCAUAAUGCAGCGGCACCUAAUGGUGAUUAGUUGUUAAAGCGGGGGAUCGCAAGACCUCGCGCCUGAAGAGGAGCCUGCGGCAGAUUAGCAGUUGGUGAGGUAAUGGCUCACCAAGGCUUCGAUCUGUAGCUGGUCUGAGAGGACGGCCAGCCACACUGGCACUGACACACGGGCCAGACUCCUACGGGAGGCAGCAGUGGGGGAAUUUUGGGCAAUGGGCGAAAGCCUGACCCAGCAACGCCGCGUGAGGGAGGAAAUCCUUCGGGAUGUAAACCUCACAAG